rnacentral:misc_RNA from 1 species
GAAAUGCGAUACGUAAUGCGAAUUGCAGAAUUCAGUGAAUCAUCGAAUCUUUGAACGCAAAUUGCGCUCUCGGGUUACCCCCAAGAGCACACCUCUCUGAGUGUCGGUUUAACCAAAUGUCACCAAUUUAUUGGUGUACGACAGACUGAGGGUAAGGGGCUUCGGCUUCUUUCCCUUUAAAUCUCAGCCUCACGACUGUGUGUGUUCGUGGCAAGUUGCUUUCACUUAACUGUGAAUCCAAUCCGCGAACCCUAUGUUGGGAAGCCAAAAGAAACAAAUGAACAAAGGAGUGAGCUUGAGGCGCAAGUUUCGAGUGAGCGACUUUGGGCAUCUAUGAAUUAGACCUCAGAUGAAGUGGGAAGACCCCCUGAAUUUAA